UGGCGCUGCCUUUGAGUGGGUGCAGUGUCCCAUUGACAGCUGCACGGGCUAAGCAGCGGUGCAAGCAGAAAAGCUUGUUUGUAACUGGUGUUUCUUGGCUAAACCCAGGAACAUCA
rnacentral:snoRNA from 1 species